AUCGUUACAACCCAGAGAGACAUCCUCCCAGGGGAGAUAGAGCUCCCAAGCCAACCCCGUUUGCUUCUUUAAUUCUACCACCAGAAACCCCUCUACCCAGCCUUUGAUAGAGUCUUUAUAACCCGUGAAAAUGGACAACCCUCCGCGAGGGGCAAAGUAGUAAAAUUUUUGGCUCGCCUUGACCAGCCUGAAGAAGCUUACGAACAGGUUAACUGUGGGAGUAAACUCCCAGCUCAAACACACAGACUCGAAGGAAGACAUGAAGAGAAUAGAGUUAGGGGUUAGCAUUCGAGGGGUGAUCUCGAAAUAUCGGAAGACCUCGUUGAAGAACGGAGAAAAGGGGAAAGACAAACCAUAUUCCCUCUGCUUGAUGAAAAAGACUAGACUAGCGUCUCUUUGGGGGUCG
rnacentral:lncRNA from 1 species